GCUUGACUGUAUCUUGGAAUUGGGUUCGGGCUUUUCUUGCGCAGACUAGGUGGGAGGCUAUGAAGAUUUUCUUCUGGGAAACGUUGGAGCCAACAGUGAGAGACACUCUGGAAAGGCUAGAAUCCUAAUGGUGAUCCUUGAAUCAGGACACUUGACAGUUUCAGGUGGGCAGUUUUUCUGGGGCGGAAGCCUCAUAAAAGGUAACUGAGGCGCGCAAAGGUCCCCUCAGUCUGGACGGAAAUCAGACAUUGAGUGUAAAGGCAAAAGGGGCUUGACUGCAAGACCCACAAGUCGAGCAGGGGCGAAAGCUGGCCUUAGUGAUCCGACGGUGCCGUGUGGAAGGGCCGUCGCUCAACGAAUAAAAGUUACUCUAGG
rnacentral:rRNA from 1 species